UAGCUAGUUGGUGAGGUAACGGCUUACCAAGGCGACGAUCUGUAGCGGGUCUGAGAGGAUGAUCCGCCACACUGGAACUGAGACACGGUCCAGACUCCUACGGGAGGCAGCAGUGGGGAAUUUUGGACAAUGGGGGCAACCCUGAUCCAGCCAUGCCGCGUGAGUGAAGAAGGCCUUCGGGUUGUAAAGCUCUUUCGGCCGGGAAGAAAUCGCAUGGGCCAAUACCCUGUGUGGAUGACGGUACCGGAAUAAGAAGCACCGGCUAACUACGUGCCAGCAGCCGCGGUAAUACGUAGGGUGCGAGCGUUAAUCGGAAUUACUGGGCGUAAAGCGUGCGCAGGCGGUUUUGUAAGACAGGCGUGAAAUCCCCGGGCUCAACCUGGGAACUGCGUUUGUGACUGCAAGGCUAGAGUACGGCAGAGGGGGGUGGAAUUCCACGUGUAGCAGUGAAAUGCGUAGAGAUGUGGAGGAACACCAAUGGCGAAGGCAGCCCCCUGGGUCGAUACUGACGCUCAUGCACGAAAGCGUGGGUAGCAAACAGGAUUAGAUACCCUGGUAGUCCACGCCCUAAACUAUGUCAACUAGGUGUUGGGUGGGUAAAACCAUUUAGUACCGUAGCUAACGCGUGAAGUUGACCGCCUGGGGAGUACGGCCGCAAGGUUAAAACUCAAAGGAAUUGACGGGGACCCGCACAAGCGGUGGAUGAUGUGGAUUAAUUCGAUGCAACGCGAAAAACCUCACCUACCCUUGACAUGCCAGGAACUUGCCAGAGAUGGCUUGGUGCCCGAAAGGGAGCCUGGACACAGGUGCUGCAUGGCUGUCGUCAGCUCGUGUCGUGAGAUGUUGGGUUAAGUCCCGCAACGAGCGCAACCCUUGUCGUUAAUUGCCAUCAUUUAGUUGGGCACUUUAGCGAGACUGCCGGUGACAGACCGGAGGAAGGUGGGGAUGACGUCAAGUCCUCAUGGCCCUUAUGGGUAGGGCUUCACACGUCAUACAAUGGUCGGUACAAAGGGUCGCCAAGCCGCGAGGUGGAGCCAAUCCCAGAAAGCCGAUCGUAGUCCGGAUUGCAGGCUGCAACUCGCCUGCAUGAAGUCGGAAUCGCUAGUAAUCGUGGAUCAGCAUGUCACGGUGAAUACGUUCCCGGGUCUUGUACACACCGCCCGUCACACCAUGGGAGCGGGUUCCGCCAGAAGUAGGUAGCCUAACCGUAAGGAGGGCGCUUACCACGGCGGGGUUCGUGACUGGGGUGAAGUCGUAACAAGGUAGCCGUAGGGGAACCUGCGGCUG
rnacentral:rRNA from 1 species